rnacentral:rRNA from 1 species
UACGUAGGGUGCGAGCGUUGUCCGGAAUUACUGGGCGUAAAGAGCUUGUAGGUGGUUUGUCGCGUUGUUCGUGAAAUCUCACGGCUUAACUGUGAGCGUGCGGGCGAUACGGGCAGACUAGAGUACUGCAGGGGAGACUGGAAUUCCUGGUGUAGCGGUGGAAUGCGCAGAUAUCAGGAGGAACACCGGUGGCGAAGGCGGGUCUCUGGGCAGUAACUGACGCUGAGAAGCGAAAGCGUGGGGGAGCGAACAGG